rnacentral:rRNA from 1 species
UGAAUUCAUCUCCGGGGGUAGAGCACUGUUUCGGCAAGGGGGUCAUCCCGACUUACCAACCCGAUGCAAACUGCGAAUACCGGAGAAUGUUAUCACGGGAGACACACGGCGGGGGCUAACGUCCGUCGUGAAGAGGGAAACAACCCAGACCGCCAGCUAAGGUCCCAAAGUCAUGGUUAAGUGGGAAACGAUGUGGGAAGGCCCAGACAGCCAGGAUGUUGGCUUAGAAGCAGCCAUCAUUUAAAGAAAGCGUAAUAGCUCACUGGUCGAGUCGGCCUGCGCGGAAGAUGUAACGGGGCUAAACCAUGCACCGAAGCUGCGGCAGCGACGCUUAUGCGUUGUUGGGUAGGGGAGCGUUCUGUAAGCCUGCGAAGGUGUGCUGUGAGGCAUGCUGGAGGUAUCAGAAGUGCGAAUGCUGACAUAAGUAACGAUAAAGCGGGUGAAAAGCCCGCUCGCCGGAAGACCAAGGGUUCCUGUCCAACGUUAAUCGGGGCAGGGUGAGUCGACCCCUAAGGCGAGGCCGAAAGGCGUAGUCGAUGGGAAACAGGUUAAUAUUCCUGUACUUGGUGUUACUGCGAAGGGGGGACGGAGAAGGCUAUG